rnacentral:tRNA from 1 species
GGGACUUAGGUUAAACUAAAACCAAGGACCUUCAAAGUCCUAAACAGGGGUGAAAAUCUCUUAGUCUCUG